rnacentral:rRNA from 1 species
AAUAGAUACCCUGGUAGUCCACGCCGUAAACGAUGGAUGCUAGCUNUNUUAUGCGUAUCGACCCGUGUAGUAGCGAAGCUAACGCGUUAAGCAUCCCGCCUGGGGAGUACGAACGCAAGUUUAAAACUCAAAGGAAUUGACGGGGACCCGCACAAGCGGUGGAGCGUGUUCUUUAAUUCGAGGCUAAGCGAAGAACCUUACCAGGGCUUGACAUCCUUGGAAUUUCUCCGAAAGGAGAGAGUACUUUAUUGGACCAAGUGACAGGUGCUGCAUGGCCGUCGUCAGCUCGUGUCGUGAGAUGUUGGGUUAAGUCCCGCAACGAGCGCAACCCUGCCCUUAGUUGCCAGCAUUUAGUUGGGCACUCUAAGGGGACUGCCGGUGAUAAGCCGAGAGGAAGGUGGGGAUGACGUCAAGUCCUCAUGGCCCUUACGGGCUGGGCUACACACGUGCUACAAUGGUGGUGACAGUGGGCAGCGAGACCGCGAGGUCGAGCUAAUCUCCAAAAGCC